rnacentral:lncRNA from 1 species
AGUAAAACAACCAGGAAUGUCUGUGUUGUAGAUUUUGAUAAAGAAAAGCACUAUACCAUGCUGCAAUAUAAUCUCAAUAAUUGAAGUAUUGAGGGUCAUAGUUUUAUGAAAAUCUUUUGAAAUUAUAGGGGUGAUUUCUCCAUGUGGUAGGUGUUAAAAUAGAGAGAAUUUGAACUGUUGAGUGGGUGAAAGUAUUUAUAUUAUGAUGUUUGUAAUGCUUAACAGCUAUAGAUUUUGUAUCUA